CAGUACAGUACUUAGCCUAGAGACCUUUCCUUUUUACGAUUACGUACGAAUAAAUAACUUGAGAAAAUGACAACCUCUGAUUUGUUAAGUUCGUGAAAAAGCCUACUGCUUGGUAA